CACGUAUUUUUAUGUGAUUUCGGCGCUGUUUGUCUUCUAGGGCCGUGAGUUGCAGGGAGAAGUGUGAGUGAUGUUCUUGUAGUUGGUGCACUGUCUCUUUAAUAGUUUUUAUGUCUGAUCUGGCGUCAAGGAUAUCCUCCUCAGCGGUUUGCACCCGGUCUGUGAUAGUUUGUAUGUCGUUUCUCAACAGUUUUAGGUCUGCUGCCCAUAAUCUGUGUAUGUCAGCAAGCAGGUUUUUCAAGUCAUUUUUGGUGGUGGGGGCCGACCCGUCAGAGGUCUCAAUGGAGUUUAUGAGACUUGCCUGUGUGAGUAGCGUGGGUUCUUUCUCCCUCUGCGCCAGGGUGCUUGCCCCUUGAUCCUCUGUGCGGAGCGUUUUGGGUUGUGUAGGUUGCCUCAGCAUGUCUCCUAUGUCCCUGCCGUCUGCCGUGGAGUUCGGUUUUUGUGACCG